CAUGUGUGUGUUUGUGCAGGUCAGAAGCGCCUCAUCCUCGGUAUCCAGGGACCUCAUCAGGACCUGCUGCCAUGGCAACCGUACACACCAAACACCGGGAUCACGGUGACAGAGAUCCAGAGCUGCACUUUCACUUUAUACUGAGUACAUUACAGCACAUAGCUGAGCCAUGAAAGCAUCUAUAACAUCCUCAUCAGAAGAGCACUCACGAGAGAAGAACUCCAAACUACACUGAAAACAAUCGCUGAACGUGAUGCUGACGGCCGAGACGAUGAGAGCAAACACGAGACGACAGCAGCGCUAACUUAACCAGAAGAGCCGAGAGCACUGACGCAAACACACUGAGCGUGACUACAGUACUGUCAGAAAGUCUGGGGUAAGAAAUCAACGCUUUUAUUCAGCAAGGGUGCAUUAAAUUGAAUAAAAGUGACAGUUAGGACAUUUCUAAUGUCUCAAAAGAGAUCUAUUUCAAAUUAAUGCUGUUCUUUUGAACUUUCUGUUCAUCUGUGAAUCCUGAAA
ensembl:lncRNA